rnacentral:rRNA from 1 species
UACGUAGGGGGCAAGCGUUGUCCGGAAUCAUUGGGCGUAAAGAGCGUGUAGGCGGCCCGGUAAGUCCGCUGUGAAAGUCCAGGGCUCAACCCUGGGAUGCCGGUGGAUACUGUCGGGCUUGAGUACGGAAGAGGCGAGUGGAAUUCCUGGUGUAGCGGUGAAAUGCGCAGAUAUCAGGAGGAACACCAAUUGCGAAGGCAGCUCGCUGGGACGUAACUGACGCUGAGACGCGAAAGCGUGGGGAGCAAACAGG